UCUUGCAGGUUGUCCGUUUUAAUCUGGAGUUUAGAAAAGUGAGGCGGAACUCUCUGGUGCUGCUGUGGGCGGAGCCUCUGUACAAGGGCCAAUCAGAGAUCAGCAAGGGGGCGGAGUCUGAGGAUUGGACCUCUGUGUUGAGUGAGCCGGUGACGGAAACUCACUUAAAGGUCUGUUCUUACCUUCACGGACGCCUCGGAGCAGGAUUUGGGCCUUUACACGGUGGAGCUGAGCGGAAACCCUGACGUCUCCUCUAAUUUCACCUUCGCUGCGGAGGAUCUGGAGAG
rnacentral:lncRNA from 1 species